UUUUUUUUUUGAGAUGGGGUCUCACUGUCACCCAGGCUGGAGUGUAGUGGCACAAUCACAGCUCACUGCAGCCAGAAACCCCAGGGCUCAAAUGAGCUUCCCACAUCAGCCUCCUGAGUAGCACACCACCAUACUCAGCUAACUUUUGUAUGUUUUGUAGAGAUGAGGUCUCACUGUGUUGCCCAGGCUGGUCUUGAACUCCUGGGCUCAAGUGAUCACCUCCUGGCUUUCCCAAAGUGCUAGGAUUCCAGGUAUGUGCCACACCCAGCCCCUCUGGGUGGUUUCUGAAUAUGACCAAUCUGCCAGGCUUACUGUGAUGCUGGGGGCGGGGGCGGGGAGGCCGGGACCAGCUUACACCCCAAGUCAUGACUUGGAGGGGGGUGCACCGCCUUCCCAGUGGUCACUUCCUGGACAAGGAGAUGGGUCGAAUCCCUAGGACUCCCCAGGCAACACCAGGAGGGGGCUGGGUGCCCACUGAGAGCCAGGUCCCAGGCAGGCACCCGCAGGUCCUGUGAAGGUGUGGCCUUCCCGUCACAGCCCUUCUGAUGUCAGAGCACCCUGGGGAGGAGGUGGGGCUCCCAGGCCACCUGUACGGGGGAGCAGGGAAGAGGAGGCCGAGAUCCAUGGUCACAUGGCUAUUCCAGGACCCCUCCCCAUGCAGGGGCUUUGGGUGAGCCCCGGAUGACAUGGCUGCCGCAGGCAGGUGGCCUCGAGGCCCCUGGAGCCUCCGGGUGUGGCCAUGUUGGGGGCACUGGCCCUGUCCCACAUGCUCUCUUCCCCUGGGCCUUUCGACAGUAGGAGGCUGCACUACCUGCUUCCAGCAUUGUAGCCCCCACCAGUUCAGAGGCCGGAGGCUGGAGGUGGUGGACAGGUGGGGCUCUUCUGCUAGGAGGCCCAGGGUGGGCUAGGGAGACAGGACCCUCCCUUCCUCUUCCCCUAGCUCCCAUCUCUCCCACCAGGAAGCUCCUUGUGCCAUGAUGGCAGGUCCUGUGCCCCGGUCUCUGGGCCCAGCGGGCUUCCUGGGCAGGUGUGCAGGUGGAGAGCCCUGGCUGCAGGUCUGGCUGGGAAGGGCUGAGAACAAGCAGGUGGUCUGCCCUCCACAGAGCCCCACUCUGCACUGUGCAGGCCACCUGCAGGGACAGUGCCAGUGGGUGUGGGAGGGGCAGCGAGGGUGCAGCAGGGCGGGAUGGGCUCCCCACGCCCCCAAGUCCUCCACAUGGGGUCUGGGGCCUUCCCAGGACCUGGGCCAGGUCGCGCACGCCUGGGCGUGGCCAGCCAGCUCGUGCUGAGUCACCGGGUGCCGUCAGUGAGGGCCUGGCCCAACCCUCGGGAACCACCGGUGCUGGUUUUCCCACGGCUGCUGCCCGCUGUGGGCCUUGUUGUCACCCACAAGGCCCUGGGAGGCCCUGCCCCGGCCAGGGCUGGAAAAGCCGGUUCUGGGCCCGCUUGCUGCGCCCGCCUUGGCCCUGGGCUCCCCAGCCACAGGGGGGCCUGGCACUGAGGGCCUCCCUGUCCAUCUGUCCACUCCAGGGCCAGCAGCCCUUGCUGGACUGACUGCCCUGGGCGGGUGGCCGCCAUGGGCUGAGGGAGGCUGUGGCUCUGCCCUUGUGAGUGGAGCUGGUGGCCCAGCACACGUCUGGCCUUCAGACAGUGAUUGUCCACCUGAGCCCACCUGCCUGAUACCCUGAGGUCCGUCCCCCAGCACUCGGGCUCUGAGAGCCUCUGCCCUCCCAUUUUGAAGAAAAGGGGCUUCUGAGGGCUUCCUCAGUCGCAGGGCACUUGGCGGGCCAGGACCCCAUGCCAGGGUUCUCACGCCACCUCCCUCCAUCAGCGUGGGACACACAGACGCCCACUCCA
rnacentral:lncRNA from 1 species